AGGAGCUGCCAUUUAUGACUGGCAUCACACACUAUACACCUUGGGUUCUUGGACUAUUCAAAGACAGGACAAAACCUAUAAUGCUCCAGCUCUACAAAUCCAUGGUAUUAAGAUCCAGCGAGUGGAGUACUGCUGCUCUGGAAUCCAAAAAAGAUCUAUAAUAUCCAGUCAGUCGAGAGCAUACAACGCCAGUUAAUUGUAGACAGAUUCUAGGGCUCAAAAACACCGACUAUUGGAAUAGACCGAAGGAACUGAAACUUAUAUCCCUGCUGGCUGCUAAGAUGCUGAGAAGGCUAGACUCCAUCAUACAUCUGUGGAAAGUUCUCCAGGGAUAUGUCCAAAUUACCUAUAGAUGAUCGAUGUACAGUUCAGAGAGAAUGCCAGACUGAGAGUUAAAGUAAUACUAUCUUCUCUCACCAAAAAAAUCAGCUUCUUCACGCUCCAUGCCUACGACUACUCAUUUGCAGUGAAAGAUGGAAGACUUGGAAUUUUCUCCCCUAAAUUGACAAUAGUGACAAUAUCAAAAGACUUUGGCAAGCUUCAAGACAUUUCUCGGAAACGGGAAACCGCAGAUUGCGUGAUAACCGUGAACUUACCUAUUUCUACUCUUCUAUAUAAGUUCAAUAGGUUGGACCAAGAAGUUCUUGGGUAACAUUGUUUUCUAUCCUAUAUGUGACCUCUGCUGAGUUUCGCCAAGACUUGACGGGCCAUCACAUCUUCUGACCACCCCACCAGUAUCGCUUGUUGCGCCAGCACAGCAGAGAGUUCGUGAGGAGGGCCUGUUUCCCUGAUCGGCGGCUUAUUGUUGUCGCUAUAAUUGCAAUUGUCCAAACAACCUGUUUGAGUUGGUGCCAGUUAAUAAAGCAAAAGUUCAACGGAGGUAGUACACACACUACACAGUACUAUGGUAGACAGAGAGCACGCAUCCGGUCGGAGUUGGGCCUGCAGGAAUGAACCCGUUUCUUACUGAUUACGAAGUCAAUGUUGGGACUGAAAGAUCUAACCUGUUUCUUACUGAUCACGAAGUCAAUGUUGGGACUGCAAGAUCUAACCUGUUUCUUACUGAUCGCGAAGUGAUUGUUGCGACCGGAUGGAUUGGUUGUCGGUCACCGGAUUGUUAUAUGUUAUAUGUUAUAUGUUAUGCAAAUGAAUCCGUUUCUUGCGGAUCACGAAGUGUGAUGUAAUCUCGUUAUCAUUUAUACUUUCAAUCUGUAAUCUUCCGUAAUCAUUUCUAUGAAAUUGUCUUUAGUUAUUUAGUACAUAUUAUUUGUUUAUGUACGAAAUUGUUUUUAGCAUUUAUGAAAGAAUCAUUUGAAAAUUAUUUACAUGCAAUUCAAAUUGUAAAACUAUCUCUACUAUAAUUCUAGAAUUAUCUUUGUACAUUGUACGACCGUCCACGUGAAAAUUUUUAAAACGACAUUUUUAUCGGUUUUGUGGUAAUUAUACGUUGUGGUAAUUAUACGUUGUGUUCAUUGCAAGCUAUAUUUUAAUGGGCUGUAUACUCGGUCGUGACAGAUAUUUUUUGAUGCGAUAAAAACUGACUAAAAAGAAUACUAUUAGUUUCCUUUGUGUGACCACGGGCUUUUUAGUUUCUUUAUAAUAUACAAAGAAUACUUAUAUUUUUAUGUAAUCCUGUUGUAAUUCAAAUUGUAUUUCAAUCGUAGGAUUUUUAAAAUUUCUAAUUUCUUAUUGUACCAC